rnacentral:rRNA from 1 species
GACGAACGCUGGCGGCGUGCUUAACACAUGCAAGUCGAACGAAGCUUGAUUACGGAUUCUUCGGAUGAAGUAUGAUAUGACUGAGUGGCGGACGGGUGAGUAACGCGUGAGUAACCUGCCCUUCAGAGGGGGAUAGCGUUUGGAAACGAACGGUAAUACCGCAUAAUGUAUUUUGACCGCAUGAUCGAAAUACCAAAGAUUUAUCGCUGAAGGAUGGACUCGCGUCUGAUUAGGUAGUUGGUGGGGUAACGGCCUACUAAGCCGACGAUCAGUAGCCGGACUGAGAGGUUGAUCGGCCACAUUGGGACUGAGACACGGCCCAGACUCCUACGGGAGGCAGCAGUGGGGAAUAUUGCACAAUGGGCGCAAGCCUGAUGCAGCAACGCCGCGUGAAGGAAGACGGUUUUCGGAUUGUAAACUUCUGUUCUUAGUGAAGAAUAAUGACGGUAGCUAAGGAGCAAGCCACGGCUAACUACGUG